UGCGAUGAUGAUGAGAAAUUUAUAAUCUCGUUAAUCUGAUCUUGUAUGAGGAGAAACUAUCUCAUCCAUUCAUAAUCGUUCUGAGC